UACGUAGGGCGCAAGCGUUGUCCGGAAUUAUUGGGCGUAAAGAGCUCGUAGGCGGUUUGUCGCGUCUGCUGUGAAAACUCGGGGCUUAACCCCGGGCCUGCAGUGGGUACGGGCAGACUAGAGUGCGGUAGGGGAGACUGGAAUUCCUGGUGUAGCGGUGGAAUGCGCAGAUAUCAGGAGGAACACCGAUGGCGAAGGCAGGUCUCUGGGCCGCAACUGACGCUGAGGAGCGAAAGCAUGGGGAGCGAACAGG
rnacentral:rRNA from 1 species